rnacentral:rRNA from 1 species
UACGUAGGGGGCAAGCGUUGUCCGGAAUCAUUGGGCGUAAAGAGCGUGUAGGCGGUUCGGUAAGUCGGCUGUGAAAGUCCAGGGCUCAACCCUGGGAUGCCGGUCGAUACUGCCGGACUAGAGUUCGGAAGAGGCGAGUGGAAUUCCCGGUGUAGCGGUGAAAUGCGCAGACAUCGGGAGGAACACCUAUGGCGAAGGCAGCUCGCUGGGACGUUACUGACGCUGAGACGCGAAAGCGUGGGGAGCAAACAGG